rnacentral:rRNA from 1 species
AUUGAACGCUGGCGGCAGGCCUAACACAUGCAAGUCGAACGAGUGGCGGACGGGUGAGUAAUGUAUGGGAAUCUGCCUGAUGGAGGGGGAUAACUCCUGGAAAAGGUGGCUAAUACCGCAUACUCUCGGAUGUGCCCAGAUGGGAUUAGCUAGUAGGUGGGGUAAAGGCUCACCUAGGCGACGAUCCCUAGCUGGUCUGAGAGGAUGACCAGCCAGACGGGGACUGAGAAACGGUCCAGACGCCUACGGGAGGCAGCAGUGGGGAAUAUUGCACAAGGGGCGCAAGCCUGAUGCAGCCAUGCCGCGUGUAUGAAGAAGGCCUUAGGGUUGUAAAGUACUUUCAGCGGGGAGGCGUUACCCGCAGAAGAAGCACCGGCUAACUCCGUGCCAGCAGCCGCGGUAAUUC